rnacentral:rRNA from 1 species
UAUACAUGACUCUGCGCAUAUCAAUAAGCGGAGGAAAAGAAACUAACAAGGAUUCCCCUAGUAACGGCGAGUGAAGCGGGAAGAGCUCAAAUUUGAAAUCUUAAAGGGUUUCCCUUUACGAAUUGUAGUUUAAAGAAGUGGUUUCUGUUGAGGUUUUGGUAAAAGUUCUUUGGAAUAGGACAUCAUAGAGGGUGAGAAUCCCGUAUUUGACCUUUACUUUCAACUUUGUGAUACACUUUCAAAGAGUCGGAUUGUUUGGGAAUGCAGUCCAAAAUGGGUAGUAAAUUUCAUCUAAAGCUAAAUAUUGGCGAGAGACCGAUAGCGAACAAGUACCGUGAGGGAAAGAUGAAAAGAACUUUGAAAAGAGAGUUAAACAGUACGUGAAAUUGUCAAAAGGGAAGCGUUUUGACACCAGUGUUGUUUUUCUGAAAAUCAAUUAAAGAACUGUUUAUGCUAAGCUGUUUAGACUUUAUCAGCUAAUCUGUUUAGUUUUGAGCUUUUCUUUAAUGCACUUUUCAGUUAACAAGUCAACAUCAAUUUCUUUUGCUGUAAAAAAGCUUGAGGAAGGUGGCUUGAGAUUCGUCUUAAGUGUUUAUAGCCUCUUGCCUAUGCAGUCGGAGAGAUCGAGGUCUGCAGCGUAGAUCCUUCGGGGCUAAAUGCAUUUGUGCUAAGUUAUAGCAUUUUAUAGACAACUUGUUGACUAUGAUUUGUCUUGUAGCUUACUCGCUUAUGUUAUUUUACCUACGCUUAGGAUGUUGAUCUACAGAGCGAGAGU